GGUAGGGUUUUCUAUCUGAUACUCCUCCUUGCACUCCGCCUCUUUCAUCAACUUGUUUUCUCUUAGAAUGGAUCUAAACUUGACUUACAUUCCGCCUCCUCGCUCUGGGAACAUCUAUGUGUAUCUCAUGAUGUCAUGCAUUCUUCACUUUCUCAGCUUGCUGAAUGGUAUCUCCAAUUAAUGCGAUGGAUUUCAAAAUUGUUUCGACGAAGAUGCCAAGUCUUGUGCAGUAUUGAUCGAACUCUAUUGGUUGGUGAUUGUGAUUUAAGAGUGAGCAAUCAUCUAUUGUCCAAGUAACUACAAUAUUCAUCCACGUGAGAAAAAAGCUUGCAAUUCUGGUUCAAGAUUCAAAGGUGUUGUGGGCCAACAUAAUGGUCAUUAUGCUAAGGUAUGUAUAGACACUACUCUUCUUAUACAAUAUUUGUGGGAUUACAGUUAAUAUGUACGCUGUUGAUUUGUUAUUUUUGCAUGUUAUACAAGAGAUAUUUUCUGACAACGAUCCACAGAAAAUAUAAAUUCCUAAGAGUUUAAAUUAUAUACAACAAUGUAAAUGAUUUAUAUAGGUUACCCACAAAGAUAUCUGCACACUAUAUGUAAAACUUCUCAAAAUAUGAGAUUCUAAUAUUACUUAGGGAUCACAAGCCUACAUCAUUUUGUGUGUUUUUUAAUCCUCUUGAUAAAUUCAUGAUUUCAAUGUUAUUUGGGAUAAUUUUGAAUUUUCGAAGAACCAAUUUUUUUCAAAAGGAAAUAACUAUAAGUGAUGUUGAGUUUUAUAGGUUUGUGUAUAUCUAAAAAAAUAAUAUAAGCAAUAAAGUAUUUGAGUUAUUGCAAAAGAAAUCGAAAAUUUUAUUUUUACACUGGGUUGGCGUAAGUUUGUGAAAGAGAAAGGUUUAAGAGCAAAAGAUACGAUUAUUUCACAAACUUAGACCAACCCUUUGUAAAAAUAACUUUUUGAUUACUUUUGCAAUAACAAUAUCUAAACUUUCAUAAUUUCCUAUAUCAUAGAAGUUCAUCUCCUCAUUUUGGAUUUGAGGAAAAUAAUUUAAUGCAUUUUUUAGGUAUAUGUAAGCUUAUUGAAGUUCAACAUCACUUGGGGUUAGCUCUUUUUGAAAAAGUUGCUUGUAUGAGAAUUCAUAUUAUCCUUUAAAUAACAUUAAAAACGUAAAUUUACUAAGAGGAUAAAAAAAACACAAAAUGUUUUAGACUUGUAAUCCCUAAGUACUAUUGGAAUCACAUAUUUUAAGAAAGUUCACAUGCAGUAUAUAGACUAGAUUUGCCUUGGCUCAUGCUUUAGUAUAGUGUCACGGACCUAAAGAUUCUGACAAGACUCCUUGCGGCACUUGACGGUUUGCUCACGAUUCUUUCACAAUCUCGCAAACUCAAGUAAGCCUCUCACAAUUUGGAUCGCUAAGAGAAAUAAGAAGGCAGACAAAAGACGGAAUUUGGAAGAAAGGACUAGUAUCUUAUUAGUCAAUUGAUGGAUGUAUUACAAAUACAAUGACUCUACUAUUUAUACUACUCUAAUGACUAAGAGUAAAUAAAUGCUACAAUACAAGUCCCUAAGUUCAUGCACUCAAGACAUGACUACAUUCUAAGAAUGACUCUAUUCUAAGAAUGACUCUAACUCUUCCAAAAAGGGACUCCUACCCUUCCCUAGUCUGCCCCAACGUUCUAGAGGGCCUGCACAAGCCUCCCUAAGGCUGAAAACUGCCCCCCUCCAUCCGCUGAAUGCCUGAAACGUCUGCCCCUCCGUCUGCUGCCUGCUUGGACUGCCAGCCCCUUCGUCUGCUGACCGUUUUGGGCUGCCUGUCCCCUUGCACACGCUGCUAGCUGCCUAGAUGGGUGGCGAUCUGCCUGGAUAGAUGGCGGGACGUCAUAAUAGGCCCAACAUAGUUUAUUUCAGUGUCAGCUUUUUUUCAACGCAACAGUACAUACAACCCAAUUAAUUAGACAUUGGUGUAUAGUGAAUGAGUGAAUAGUGCUCAACUUAUGAAGGGAAUGUGAUAGUAUAUUGUAAGUAUGAAUACUAAGAGGUAAGGAUUGACUAUUUGUCAUAAGGUCCUAGUGGACGAGUGUUUCUGAAUUUGUACCCGUAGUUGGAAGUUAUUAUAGUAAGAGAGCAAUUAUAUUGGUAUUCGGAUUUACUCAUAAAUAUUAAGUUUGAAUUUGAGAUGAGUGUAUGAUCAAAAGAAUGAAAACACGAGGAUGAUGAUGUUAGUCUUGAGAUUUGAUCUAGAAGACUUGACAUAGAGUAGGUGAGGAAUUGAGGUGAUAAGUUGCAAUACAUAUGCGUGAUACAAAUGACAGACCCUAAUGUUUAGAUAAGGGCAAUGAAGUGUGACUAAUUCACAAGAGUAAAAAGAGCAUUAAAUGUGUGCUGAGAAGGUAUGCCUCAUAAGAUGUUAAGAGAUACAUGUUAGAAAGAGGUCUCAGUACCCAUUUAUGGAGAAUUUAGUAUCCAUGAGAUAAGUUUUCCCGAAUGUUAGAGUAAGAUGAUUGUACAUCAGUAUAGAGAUGAUGAAAUAGGUCCAUGACUUUCAAGUGUUAGCUUUAUAACUGAGAGGGAGAUGGUUGCCACACCCCAGCCUACACCCCGAACGUGACUGACACCCGAGAAAUAUUUUUGGUUCAAAGCUAAUCCUUGGCGUGACUUACUUACUCAACGAAAGACUAACUCAAGCAUACAAAACUUCAAAACUGAAUAAAAUUCGUGAAACUUACAAAUCUUUAACUCAAAUGAAUAACUUUGAAUAAAAAUAGAAUAUUCAACUACCCAAUAAUAGACAACUUAAGUCUUUAAUACAUUUGAUAAGAUAAAAGAAACAAAAGUUUUCAAACUCUGCUAUCCAUUUAUAAGACUUCUAAAUAACAAAUAUGGAAGUCAGGACAAGGCCCACGACAUCCUAACAAUUGAUAUAACUGAAAGGUAAAUGAUUUCCUUUUGAAGUAAGAAGGUUCACCAUAGCUAACUCAAACUCCAUGUGGUAUCAACGAAGCUACUGUUGGUCAUGAUCCCAGAAUGGCUCAGUAUAGUGUUUUGCAAUGCUCGUGCAUUCCAUGUACUGAGUCAUUUGGCUUGCAUCCUUUCAUGAUGCAGAUUCAAGUCUCUUGGAUCAUCAAUAGUAGUAGCUUCGUUCAUACCAAAAGUAUUUCGAGUUAGCUAUGGUGAGUCUCCUUGCUUCCAGAGGAUUCCAUUUACCUUUCAGUUAUAUCGGUUGUAAUUAGGAUGUCAUGAGUCUUGCCCCAACUUCCAUCUUUGUCAUUUAGAGGCUUCAUAGAUAGAUAGUAAAGUUUGAGAAGUUUGUUUCAUUUAUCUUAUUAAGUGUAUUAAAGAUUUGAGUUGUCUAUUGUUGGCUAGUUGAAUAUUCUAUUUUAAUUAAGAGUUACUCAUUUGAGUUAAAUAUUUGUAAGUUUCAUGAAUUUUAUUUAAUUUUAAAGUUUUGUAUGCUUGAGUUAGUCUUCCACUUGUAGUCAUCCAGGAUGAGGAUUCGCUUCGGGACUAUCAAUUGUUCUGGAGUGUAUGACACAUCCUAGGUGUAGGCUCGGAUCGUAACAUGUACGAAAUAUAAACUCAUAUACCUUCAAAUAAUAUUUGAUCAUUUUGUUCUAAAUAGGUUACGUACCACAAAUACAUGAUUACGUAAGUGAUGAUAAGUGCAUACGACUACUCCAUGGGUAUAAACAUUAUAGACAAAGACCAACAAAUGUCUAGUUUGUAAUAUUUUGCUAUCUCGUUCACGUUCUUGAGUCCUAUAUCAUCAAUAAACUCUCUUCAUAAAUAAUCGAAUUUGAAGAACACGGAUAUGUUUGUUAGAAAAAGAAGACGGCAUACAAGUAUCACUAAAAUUAUCCUUACAACACUCAUAUAACUCUAAGAGGUGCAAAUAUCAAUUAGAAACUAAUCCUUACAACACCUCUUACUAUAAUUAUUAAUUGAUAACAUGAAUGUUGGUCUAAAUAAGAUUUCAGAGAAACAUGAUUAUCGAAAAAUGGGUUGAUAAGAAUGUCAAGGUGAAUUGGACGGUAAUUUCGAGAGGAUGGCUACGAAAUUAGGGUUAACAACUUUCCAAAUUGGGUGGAUCGAGUAAAAUAUUAAAUAUAAAGAAAAUUUUAAUUUAUUAAAAAUAUAUCCAUGGGAGACAUGUAAGCGCCACACAAGAUAAUAAAAGUAGUGGCAUAAUAUUUAACUGAUCAAGGGUAAAUAUGCUCUCAAAGUUGGAUGAUAAGGGCAAAUAUAUCAAAAGAGUAUAACUAAGGGUAUAUAUAUAACCAUUUUCUAAGAGUAUAAGGGCAAUUGACAAAUAUUUCCUUUUCCAUAUAUUAAAUUAGUGAUGCUUCGUGUUUAAUCUAGGAAAUUCCUUUAAAUUCCUGAAGUGGGAGGUGAAAAGUUGAGUAAUUGAAUGUAAUUCUUUUUUCGGAAAAGGGUCAAAAAUACCGUUAAACUAUUUGAAAUAUCCCAUAUAUACCCUUAAACUAUAUUUUGGCUCAAAACUACCCUUCCCGUCAAACUAUUGGGUCAAAAGUGCCCUUCUAAUUAACGAAAAAUUGUUAAAUGUCAUGUGGAUACCACGCUGAAGUUUCUCUGCCAAAAAAUAUAUUUAUUUUUUUCUCAUUUUUGUCUUUUUUAAAAAUAAAAAAAUUAGGUCUUCUCUUUCAUAAUUUAAAGGUAAUAUUAUUAAGAACAAAUUUCAAAUAUAGCAAAUAUUAAAAUUAUAUUUGUAUAUUAUAUCUAUUGUUUACAUAAUUGCGCUUCAUAUCCAUAGCAAAUUCAUGUUUGCUAUGAAGACUUUUGAUUUGUAUAAUUCUCUAGAUACAUUCAACUUUAUACAAACUGUUUAAUUUUGUAUAAAUUGAAUAUAUUGCAUUAUAAUUUGUAUAAUAAGAUCUGUAUUCGUAUAAUUAUAAGCGUAUAAAAUGAAAAUAUAUAUAUUUAUAUUUGUAUUUACACUUUUUUCUCGUUUUAUACAAUCACAAACGCUUUUUAUAUAUUUGUAUAUCAAAUGGGUAAUUGUAUACUGAAAAUGGCUAAGAUUAAAAAAAAUAGAAUAUUUAAUGUGAAUUAUAAAUAACAUAAACUAUAGUUAUAACAUUUAAUUUCAAUUAAUAGUUUAAUAUCCCCUAUAAUUUUCUCUAUUAAAAAGGGAUCAUAACAUAAUUAUUCAAUUAAAUAGACAAUUAAUACGCUUUAAUGUCUAUCACAGAACAAUUUUAAAUUAAUUAAAAUAUAUUUUAACCUAUAUUUAUUGUAUUUAAUGAACAUUAUUUCAUAUUCCCAUAAAUACAUAUUCAGUGCUUUCGAUUAUAAAUACCAACUGAGAUAUUGGGAUGAGUAUCAAUUUUGUAUUUUUCAUCUCAUCUAUCUAAUCCCCAAUUGGUGUCUCCAUUUUGGUGAGAUUUUAUUUUUUUUAAAUUAUUUUGUCUGGUUGUAGAAUGAAAUUCAUUUUUCUUAUCAAUUAAUUUAAAUUUUUUAUACAUUUAUAAUCUCCUGUAUUUCGAUUAUUAUAUUAUUUUAUUAUAGUUAUUAAAUUUGUUCAGAAUGUUUUGUCAUGAUUUUUGUAAUUUCAUUACUUUAUUUCACGAUAUAUUUUUCCUAAAAUUAAGAAUAUAUAGAAAAUAAUUUCUCUAAUCUCCUUAUGAUUCAUGUAUGCAAAUCAUUUGAAUUUCUAAUUGAAGUGAAUAAUCAUUACAUAUGUCGAUAUUAUUUUUAAUCUUCUUCUAUAGAAAUUAUAUUUCCUCAAUAUUUUCAUUCAUUUAUCACUACAAUGUGAAGUCUUAUGGUUUUGAUUUUAUGCCUAAAGUAAGUUUUACAAUUAUAUUUUUUGGUUCUAUUAUCUCUGUGUAUUGGUAGAGUAUUUAGUUGUUUAAAUAGACUGCCUUAUUGAUUUUUAAUUAUUUUGUAUGAGAUAGUGAUUGAGUUAUAUAGUAAUAUUAUACUCAAUAUUACAGUCUGUUUGGCAUUAUUAUCGAACGAUCUAAAGCAUUUAUUUUGAGGGGAAAAAAGUACUUUUAUUGAAAAAUUAAAUGCUCGACAAAUCAGUAAAAGUUUUUAAAUAGAAAUAGAAGUAAUUUUUUUGCUAUUGGAAAGAAGCUAAAAAUUUUUGCUUAAAAAAGAAAAUCGACGCUGAAACAAAAAAUUAUUUUUCUCAAGACUAAAAUAUUAUUUUUUAUGUAUACACUUAUUAAUAUAUUUCUUAUUAAUUAAUUAACAUAUUAAUAGGUUUGGUUAAAAAUAUUUAAGAAUCUUAUUUUUCCGUUUUUAUAUGAGAAUGUGUUAGCAUUUUUGUUAAUGCUGAUAUGGUCCGUAUUAGAUGGUCCAUUAUCCACUUCAUGGACCCAUUAUUCCACUAAUGGGAAGCUAGUUAACUACCUAAUGAGAUAAUGGUUAACUGCCCAUUGAUAAUGGUUAAAUACCGAUUAUCCCACUACAUGAAUCCACUAUCCUACUAAGUGGUUGGUAACUUCACAUGACCUUUUAACCGUUUUUGAUGGAAGGACGGUUAUAAAUAUGUUAUUUGGUUCAAAGGUCCCUAAGCACAUUACAUUCUAAAAACUUUAUAUCAUCUAAGAGUGAGAUUUUGAGUGCUUAGAAGAUUCUUGAAGAAAAGAAGAAUUGUAGACUCCAACUAUAUCGCUAGCAAUGGUUGGAGGUAUGUCGAUCACUCUAUAUUUUCGUUGUGUCAUUGCUCUGUAAUCUCCAACAUUAUGUUAUAAUUUAUUUUACAUUAUAUAUUAUUAUUUUUUAUACUAUAUAUUAUAUUACAUAUUAUUUUGUAAAAUAGUAAAAAGGUAACAAUAAUAUUUUUACAAGAUUAAAAGAAGAAAAAUAAUUUUUUUAUCCUCCCAAAAACGUGUAAUAUUGAAUGAAAAUUAUACAUGUAAAUUUUAAUUUUUUAAAAAUAAAAUUUAAUUAUUUUUUUUAAUAGAUAUUUUGAAUAGUUUUUCUCUAUAAAUAAUUUUAAUAUUAGAAGUAAAUUAGUACUUUAUUGCAAAUUGUUAUUUUUAAAAAUUUUAUAAAUAGUGAGUCUAAUCUUAAUAUUUUUUGUAUAUGUCUUAUAAGAUUAUUUAUUUUGACGAAUAAAAUGUUUAGGUAGUAUAUGUUCAUUUAAAUUUAUGAAGUGUGAACUAUUUACUUAGGUCAUAAUCUUAGAAGAUAUAUCUCCAAUUUAGAGAUACAUUUUUCCCUCUUGUGAUCAAAAAGCACACGCGUCUUUGUUAGGUCAAUUUUUUUAUGUUUUGAGAAAAAAAUUUAAAUAAGAUUAUAAUAUAAUAUUUUUCUAAUAUAUAAAAAAUAUUAUGUCAACAAUGAUUUUGGCUAGAAAAUAUUUUAUUAUUUAAGUUAUGCAAAUGACAAUUGUAUAUAGGAAUUUUAAAUCGAUUAUGAUCUUUUGUAAAAUAAUUCAUUUUCCUUAUUUAAACUAUGUGAUGUGAUUCUUAUAUAUUUAACAAGUGUUUGAUUAUAGAUUUUGCAUUAGAUUUGGAAAAUAUAUCUUUUAAAAAUAAUUUAUUCAAAAAAUGUUUCACUUUAACUCACAAAUUCAUAUUUUUUUUUCAAGUCAUUCUACUAAUCACUACUCCAUAAAAAGUGUUCAAAUUAAAAAUAUUUAUCUAUGACUAACAAAAAAAGUUACCAUGUACAAGUUUGAAACUUUCAUCAAUUCUCCAACUAAUCUAUUGAAUUAAUUAAUUAAUUAAAAUCAACUACAAUCUCUAUGGUACAAUUAUAUAUAUAAAUAAUUUUGUUAUUUUGUCCUAUCAUAAUAAUAAGAAUUUUCUAGUUCUUAUAAAAAUCAUAUCACUUUUACCUUUCUAUAAAAAUAAAAUUGCGGAGCAUCUAGCUCCUUUAUUCCAUUUUAAAAAUUUUGUACAAAAAGGCCCAACAUAAGCCCAAAUAAAUCAAAUAAGUACAGCCUAACAGGGUCCAUCAAAAAUAGGAAAUAGACCACUCUAUAAAUUGAUUCUAAAUGGUAGGGUUUCCUGAUACUCAUCAUUUCACUCCGCCUCUUUUAUCAACAAGUUUUCUCCUGGAGUUGGUUUGAACUUGACUUAGUUUCCCCCUCCUCGCUCUAUGGAACAUUUAUGUGUACUCUUCUCUUUCUCAGCUCGUUGUAGUAGGUAUCAUUUCUUUUUUAUCUUUCUAAUUCUUUGUAUCUCCUCUAACUUUCUCUUUUUUUGCAGAGGUAUAUAUACUCUGGUAGAUGAAAUAGAUCUUUAAAUUGUCUCGACAAAGAUGUCAGGUUAUGUGAAUCUGUCAUUAAUGAUUGACAUAAUUAGGUUUGUUUUUGUUCAUUCUCUUUGUAUUUUAUCACAUGAAUUCUUAUUUCUAUAAUUUUGCAAAGUAUAUUCUGGUUUAAAUCUUUCAAUGAAUAUCCACAUAGUUUUUUUCUCUUUUGACUUGUAAAAACAGAGAAAGUCUUUUAUUUUGAUUGACGUUUGGACAUAAAUUUUGUGAAAUUUGAAAAGAAAAAAAAGUAGCAUUUAAGAGAGAAUUGUGUUGACCUCCCAAAUGGUCACUCAGCUAAUAUUUAUCAUCCCAGAAAGUCAUUUACUUGUUAAAAAAAUUGAAAAUCAACAAGAAGAAUGUCUUUCUAUGAUAAUAAACAUUAAUUGAGUGAUACCAUCUAUUAUAUUGUCCAUUAUUAACUUUAAUUUAGAACCACACGAUUAAAAGUUUUUUUUCUUUUCUUAAACUCUGUUCCAAGUCAAACUAGGUCAUCCUUUUGGAAACGGAGGGAUUACUUCUUUUUCUUAAAUUCAAAGUGAACGUGAGAUUUUAUGAUGUAUCAAGAAGAUUAUGAAAGUUCAUUUGAAACGAAUGGAGUAUUUCUUUUUCUUAAAUUCAAAGUGAACGUGAGAUUUUAUGAUAUAUCAAGAAGACUAUGAAAGUUAAUGUAUUGUUGCAAAAGAAAUCAAAAAAUUUAUUUUCGAAAAGGGUUGGCAUAAGUUUGUGAAAGCCGGAGAUUUAGGAGUAAAGUACAAUUAUUUUCGCAAAUAAUUGUAUCUUUUGCUCUUAAACCUUUAGCUUUAACAAAUUUGUGCCAACCCUUUGUGUAUAUAAUUUUUAUUUCUUUUACAAUAACAAUAUAUAAAUUUUCAUAGUCUCUUUAUGCAUCAUAAAAACCCAUGUCCUCUUUGAAGAAAAUACUUUGUUGGAUAUUCUUAGGUAUAUAAGCCUAUAAAAUCCAAUAUCACCUGGAGUUAGCUCCUUUUGAAAGCUAUUUGUAUGGGAAUUCAAGAUUAUCCUAUAAGUAACAUUAAAAUCAUGGAUUUUACCAAGAGGACUAAAAAAACACAAAAUGCUAUAGGCUUAUGAUCCCUAAGUACUAUUGGACUCACAUAUUUUAAGUAGGUUUACACGUAGAAUGUAGAUUGAACUCAUAGAAUAAAAUUUGAGUCUUAAAAUUCAAUACAAAUUUCAGAGAUUGGAUUUACGUCCGUAGAUCAAACCACGAAUGAUCCAUGAAGAUUUUUUUUCCAGCUUUUAAAACUAGUUAAGGGUUUGAACAGUGUUAAUCAAUCCUUUACGUUCAUUAAUGCUUCCAAGUCUUAAAGCAAGGAUCCAAGAGGAGAAAGCUAAGGUUUUGAGCGUUCUUCGACUUUUCAUCGAUUUCACUAAGAACUAUGUUCUUCAGUGUAUGUAAGGCUAUCAUAAUGGUGGACUAAGUUUGUCCUCACGCCCUACAUCUAUCUAAAUUCAGUAAAAGAGUAAUCUAGGAUUUUAUCAUUAAUUUUAAGUAUUUAUAAGGUGAGUAACAUCGUCGAAUUCUGAGUUUUUGAUUUCUUAGUAUUGAGUUCUCUAUAUUGUUAUUGAUAUCCUUGAGUUGAGGUGUUCAUGUUUAUAAUUCAGCAUGAAUAAAGCAAACAUUUUUGUCUUAAACUGAUUUUCGGAGCAAGUAAAGAUAAGUUUUGACAAAAGAGUUUUAAACAUAAUUUGAGUAAGAGUAUAAGGGAACUAAGUAUUCCCAAAUGUAUCACUCUUUUUACAUUGAGAAAAAUAAUAUUUUGAUUUCCAAAUGGGUUACUUUUUAUAUUAAGAAAAAUAAUAUUUUAAUUUCCAAAUGAGUUAACGAGUUUAGAGAUAUUUCAACUAAUCAUUACUCCAUAAAAAGUGUGUCAAACAAAUCAUAUUUAUCUAUGACUAACAAACAAAGUUACCAUGUACAAGUUUGAAAUUUCCAAUCUAUUGAAUUAAUUAAAUUAAUUAAAAUCAACUACAAUCUCUAUGGUACAAUUAUAUAUAUAAAUAUUUUGUUAUUUUGUCCUAUCAUAAUAAUAAAAAUUUUCUAGUUCUUAUAAAAAUCAUAUCACUUUUACUUUUCUUUAAAAAUAAAAUUGCAGAGCGUCUAGCUCCUUUAUUCCAUUUCAAAAAUUUUGUACAAAAAGGCCCAACAUAAGCCCAAAUAAAUCAAACAAGUACAACCUAACUAGGUCCAUCAAAAAUAGGAAAUAGACCACUCUAUAAAUGAUUCUAAAUGGUAGGGUUUCCAGAUACUUGUCAUUUCACUCCGCCUCUUUCAUCAACACGUUUUCUCCUUGAGUUGGUUUGAACUUGACUUACUUUCCGUCUCCUCGCUCUAUGAAAUAUCUCCAAACGCUAUAUACUCUUCUCUUUCUCAACUCGUUGUAGUAGGUAUCAUUUCCUUUUUAUCUUUGUAAUUCUUUGUAUCUCCUCUAACUUUCUCUUUUUUGCAGAGGUAUAUAUACUCUGUUGGAUGCAUUAAAUUUUUAAAUUGUCUCGACAAAAAUGUCGGGUUAUGAGAAUCUGUCAUUAAUGAUUGACAUAAUUAGGUUUGUUUUUGUUCAUUCUCCUUGUAUUUUUUCACAUGAAUUCUUGUUUCAAUUAUUUUGUAAAAUAUAUUUUGGUUUAAAUCUUUCAAUGAAUAUGCUGAUAGUUUUUUUCUUUUUGACUUGUAAAAAUAGAGAAAGACUUUUGUUUGGAUGGACGUUUGGACAUAAAUUUUGUGAAAUUAGAAAAGAAAAAAAAAAGUAGCAUUUAAGAGAGUAUUGUGUUGACCUCCCAGAUCGUCACUCAGCUAAUAUUUAUCAUCUCUAAAAGUAAUUUACUUGUUAAAAAAAUUGAAAAUCGACAAGACAGAAUGUCUUUCGAAGAUAAUAAACAUUAAUUGAGUGAGACCAUCUAUUAUAUAGUCCAUUAUUAAUAUUAUUAUUUUAUAUUUUAAUCUUUGUGUCUGAACAAUAAAAUUAAGCAUUUGAAAUUGUACCUAACUACCUACCAAUCUCUAAUAUUUUCAUAGAUUUUCUCAAAAUAUGUUUUUUUUUUUAGAACAAAAAAAGUUCUUAUGAUUCAACAUGAAAGACGAAAUGACCUUAAAAUCAAGUAUAAUCACAUACAUAACAAUUGGUGAUUGCGUUUUAAGAGCGAGCAAUCAUCUAUUGCCCGAAAAAUACAAGAUUCAUGCAUCUGAGAAAAAAACUUGCAAUUCUAGAUGAAGACUUAAAGGUGGUUUAGGCCAACUUAAUUGACAUUGUCCUAAGGUAUGUGUAGAUGCUACUCUCCUUAUACGUCACUUGUGGAAUUACACUAAAUUUGUAUGUUGUUUUAUGUCAUACCAGAGAUAAAUACAUACAGUUCAGGUAUUGUUAUUGCAAAAGGGUUGGCAUAAGUUCGUGAAAGACGGAGGUUUAAGACCAAACGAUACAAUUAUUUUCAAAUAAUUGUAUCUUUUGCUCUUAAACCCUUAGCUUUUACAAAUCUAUGUCAAUUCUUUGUGUAAAUAAUUUUUUCAUUUCUUUUUCAAAAAUAACAAUAUCUAAACUUUGAUAGUCUCUUAUGCAUCAUAAAAUCCCAUGUCAUCACUUUGGAUUUGAAGAAAAUAUGUUGUUGCAUAUUUCUUAGGUAUAUAAGCCUCUAAAAUCCAAUAUAGUUCACUAGGAGUUAGCUCCUUUUGAAAAGUUAUUUGUAUGAGAAUUCAAACAUUAUCUUAUAAGUAACAUUAAAAUCAUGAUUUCAGUACUACUUAGGAUAAUGAUAGAUGAUGUUGGACUUUCUAGUCUUGUAUAUACUUAAUAAAUAUGUAAUAACUUACUCUCUCCGUUUAAAAAAGAAUGACCCUAUUUUCUUUUUAGUCUGUUUAAAAAAGAAUGACCCCUUUCCUUUUUUGGCAACACUUGAACUUUCAACGUGGCAUGUUUAAGACCACAAGAUUAAAUGACAUUUUGGUACAUUUGACAUAACUUUAAUUUAGAACAACACGAUUAAAAAGUCUUCUUUCUUUUCUUAAACUCUAUUCCAAUUCAAACUAGAUCAUCCUUUUCAAAACAGAUGCAGUAUUUCUUUUUCUUAAAUUCAAAGUGAACAUGAGAUUUUAUGAUAUAUCAAGAAGAUUAUGAAAGUUCAUGUAUUGUUGCAAAAGAAAUCAAAAAAAUUAUUUUCCAAAAGGGUUGGCAUGAGUUUGUGAAAGCCGGAGGUUUAGGAGCAAAGUACAAUUAUUUUCGCAAAUAAUUAUAUCUUUUGCUCUUAAACCUUUAGCUUUAACAAAUUUGUGCCAACCCUUUGUGUAUAUAAUUUUAUUUCUUUUACAAUAACAAUAUAUAAAUUUUCAUAGUCUCUUUAUGCAUCAGAAAAGCACAUGUCCUCUUUGAAAAAAAUACUUUGUUGCAUAUUCUUAAGUAUAUAAGCCUACAAAAUCCAACAUCACUUGGAGUUAGCUCCUUUUAAAAGCUAUUUGUAUGGGAAUUCGAGAUUAUCCUAUAAGUAACAUUAAGAUCAUGGAUUUUACCAAGAGGACUUAAAAAACACAAAAUGUUAUAGGCCUGUGAUCCCUAAGUACUAUUGGACUCAAAUAAUUUAAGUAGGUUUACACGUUGUAUUUAGAUUGAACUCAUAGAACAAAAUUUGAGUCUUAAAAUUCAAUACAAAAUGCACAGAUGGGAUUUACGUCCGUAGAUCAAACCACAAAUGAUCCGUGAAGGGUUUUUUUCCAGUUUUUAAGACUAGUUAAGGGUUUGAAUAGUGUUAAUACGUUCUUUAAUGCUUCCAAGUCUUAAAGCAAGGAUCCAAGAGGAGAAAGCUAAGAUUUUGAGCGUUCUUUGAAUUUUCACCGAUUUCACCAAGAACUUUGUUCUUCAGUGUAUGUAAGGCUAUCAUAAUGGUGGACUAUGUUCGUCCUCACACCCUAUAUCUAUCUAAAUUCAGUAAAAGAGUAAUCUAGGAUUUUAUCAUGAAUUUUAAGUAUUUUUGAGGUGAGUAAUAUCGUCGAAUUCUGAGUUUUUGAUUUCUUAGUAUUGAGUUCUCUAUAUUGUUAUUGAUAUCCUUGAGUUAAGGUGUUCAUGUUUAUAUUUCAGCAUGAAUCCUUUUUUGAGUUAUAAUUUUUGAGAAUCUUUUAAAGCAAACAUUUUUGUCUUAAGCUGAUUUUCGGAGCAAGUAAAGAUAAGUUUUGAGAAAGAGUUUUAAACAUGAUUUGAGUAAGAGUAUAAGGGAACUAUGUAUUUCCAAAUGUAUCACUUUUUACAUUGAGAAAAAUAGUAUUUUGAUUUCCAAAUGAGUUACUUUUUACAUUGAGAAAAAUAAUAUUUUGAUUUCCAAAUAAGUUACUUUUUACAUUGAGAAAAAUAAUAUUUUGAUUUCCAAAUGAGUUAACGAGUUUAGAGAUAUUUCAACUAAUCAUUACUCCAUAAAAAGUGUGUCAAACAAAUCAUAUUUAUCUAUUACUAACAAACAAAGUUACCAUGUACAAGUUUGAAACUUCCAUCAAUUCUCCAACUAAUCUAUUGAAUUAAUUAAAUUAAUUAAAAUCACUACAAUCUCUAUGGUACAAUCAUAUAUAUAAAUAUUUUUGUUUAUUUUUCCUAUCAUAAUAAUAAGAAUUUUCUUGUUCUUAUAAAAAUAAUAUCACUUUUACUAUUCUUUAAAAAUAAAAUUGCGGAGCGUCUAGCUCCUUUAUUCCAUUACAAAAAUUUUGUACAAAAAGGCCCAACAUAAGCCCAAAUAAAUCAAACAAGUACAACCUAACUGGGUCCAUCAAAAAUAGGAAAUAGACCACUCUAUAAAUUCAUUCUAAAUGAUAGGGUUUCCUGAUACUCGUCAUUUCACUCCGCCUCUUUCAUCAAUACAUUUUCUCCUGGAGUUGGUUUGAACUUGACUUACUUUCCGCCUCCUCGCUCUAUGGAACAUUUAUGUGUAUCUCCUGACGCUAUAUACUUUCUCUUUCUCAGCUCGUUGUAGUAGAGGUAUAUAUACUCUGGUGGAUGCAGUAGAUCUUUAAAUUUUCUCGACAAAAAGGUCGGGUUAUGUGAAUCUGUCAUUAAUGAUUGACAUAAUUAGGUUUGUUUUUGUUCAUUCUCCUUGUAUUUUUUCACAUGAAUUCUUGUUUCUAUAAUUUUGCAAAAAAUAUUCUGGUUUAAAUCUUUCAAUGAAUAUCUUGAUAGUUCUUUUCUCUUUUGAUUUGUAAAAACAGAGAAAGUCUUUUGUUUUGAUGGACGUUUGGACAUAAAUUUUGUGAAAUUUGAAAAGAAAAAAAAUAGAAUUUAAGAGAGAAUUGUAUUGACCUCCCAGAUGGUCACUCAGCUAAUAUUUAUCAUCUCAGAAAGUCAUUUACUUGUUAAAAAAAUUGAAAAUCAACAAGAAGAAUGUCUUUCUAUGAUAAUAAACAUUAAUUGAGUGAGACCAUCUAUUAUAUUGUCCAUUUUUAAUAUUAUUAUUUUAUAUUUUAAUCUUUGUGUCUGAACAAUAAAAUUCAGCAUUUGAAAUUGUACCUAACUACCUACCAAUCUCUAAUAUUUUCAUAGAUUUUCUCAAAAUAUCUUUUUUUUUAGAAAAAAAAAUUCUUAUGAUUCAACAUGAAAGACGAAAUGACCUUAAUAUCAAGUAUAAUCACAUAAGUAACAAUUGGUGAUUGCGUUUUAAGAGCGAGCAAUCAUCUAUUGCCCAAAAAAUACAAGAUUCAUGCAUCUGAGAAAAAAACUUGCAAUUCUAGAUGAAGACUCAAAGGUGGUUUAGGCCAACUUAAUGGGCAUUGUCCUAAGGUAUGUGUAGAUGCUACUCUCCUUAUACGUCAUUUGUGGAAUUACACUAAAUGUGUAUGUUGUUUUAUGUCAUACCAGAGAUAAACACAUACAGUUCAGGUAUUGUUAUUGCAAAAAGGUUGGCAUAAGUUUGUGAAAGACAGAGGUUUAAGACCAAACGGUACAAUUAUUUUCAAAUAAUUGUAAUUGCUCUUAAACCUUUAGCUUUCACAAAUCUAUGUCAAUUCUUCGUGUAAAUAAUUUUUUCAUUUCUUUUACAAAAAUAACAAUAUCUAAACUUUGAUAGUCUCUUUAUGCAUCAUAAAAUCCCAUGUCAUCACUUUGGAUUUGAAGAAAAUAUGUUGUUGCAUAUUUCUUAGGUAUAUAAGCCUCUAAAAUCCAAUAUCACUUGGAGUUAGCUCCUUUUGAAAAGUUAUUUGUAUGAGAAUUCAACAUUAUCUUAUAAGUAACAUUAAAAUCAUGAUUCCAGUGCUACUUAGGAUAAUGAUGGAUGAUGUUGGACUUUCUAGUCUUGUAUAUACUUAAUAAAUAUGUAAUAAUUUACUCCUUUCGUUUCAAAAAGAAUGACCAUAUUUCCUUUUUAGUCUGUUUCAAAAAGAAUGAUCACUUUUCUUUUUUGGCAACAGUUUAACUUUAACUUUCCACGUGGCAUGUUUAAGACCACAAGAUUAAAUGACAUUUUGGUACAUUUGACAUAACUUUAAUUUAGAACAACACGAUUAAAAAGUCUUCUUUCUUUUCUUAAACUCUAUUCCAAGUCAAACUAGAUCAUCCUUUUCAAAACAGAUGCAGUAUUUCUUUUUCUUAAAUUCAAAGAUGAACAUGAGAUUUUAUGAUAUAUCAAGAAGAUUAUGAAAGUUCAUGUAUUGUUGCAAAAGAAAUCAAAAAAAUUAUUUUCCAAAAGGGUUGGCAUGAGUUUGUGAAAGCCGGAGGUUUAGGAGCAAAGUACAAUUAUUUUCGCAAAUAAUUGUAUCUUUUGCUCUUAAACCUUUAGCUUUAACAAAUUUGUGUCAACCCUUUGUGUAUAUAAUUUUUAUUUCUUUUACAAUAACAAUAUAUAAAUUUUCAUAGUCUCUUUAUGCAUCAGAAAAGCACAUGUCCUCUUUGAAAAAAAUACUUUGUUGCAUAUUCUUAGGUACAUAAGCCUAUAAAAUCCAACAUCACUUGGAAUUAGCUCCUUUUGAAAGCUAUUUGUAUGGGAAUUCGAGAUUAUCCUAUAAGUAACAUUUAAAUCAUGGAUUUUACCAGGAGGCCUAAAAAACACAAAAUGCUAUAGGCUUGUGAUCCGUAAGUACUAUUGGACUCACAUUUUAAGUAGGUUUACACGUAGUAUGUAGAUUGAACUCAUAGAACAAAAUUUGAGUCUUAAAAUUCAAUACAAAAUGCACAGAUGGGAUUUACGUCCGUAGAUCAAACCACGAAUGAUCCGUGAAGGGUUUUUUUCCAGUUUUUAAGACUAGUUAAGGGUUUGAACAGUGUUAAUGAAUCCUUUACGUUCUUUAAUGCUUCCAAGUCUUAAAGCAAGGAUCCAAGAGGAGAAAGCUAAGAUUUUGAGCGUUCUUUGAAUUUUCACCGAUUUCACCAAGAACUUUGUUCUUCAGUGUAUGUAAGGCUAUCAUAAUGGUGGACUAUGUUCGUCCUCACACCCUAUAUCUAUCUAAAUUCAGUAAAAGAGUAAUCUAGGAUUUUAUCAUGAAUUUUAAGUAUUUUUGAGGUGAGUAAUAUCGUCGAAUCUUGAGUUUUUGAUUUCUUAGUAUUGAGUUCUCUAUAUUGUUAUUGAUAUCCUUGAGUUAAGGUGUUCAUGUUUAUAUUUCAGCAUGAAUCCUUUUUUGAGUUGUAAUUUUUGAGAAUCUUUUAAAGCAAACAUUUUUGUCUUAAGCUGAUUUUCGGAGCAAGUAAAGAUAAGUUUUGAGAAAGAGUUUUAAACAUGAUUUGAGUAAGAGUAUAAGGGAACUAUGUAUUUCCGAAUGUAUCACUUUUUACAUUGAGAAAAAUAGUAUUUUGAUUUCCAAAUGAGUUAACGAGUUUAGAGAUAUUUCAAAACAUUACCUCCUUAAAGAGGAUAUCUUGAGAAAUUAUCUCAAAAUUGAGAAACAAUAUGUUUUAUACAUUUUAGCAUGACCAUAUAUUUAUUGAGAGUAGUAUUGAGCACCGAUAUGGGAAUGAGUUCAGACAAGUAACAUCCCUCAUAAAUUAUGUAGCCAACAUGGGUAAAAGAUCGUAUUAUUUAGACGACUCCUUAUUGCUUUCAAGCAAAGCCUUAGUGGAUCCACUUAGUUGAAAUGUUCUAUUUCUCUGCAAGGUAUAGGACAGUUCUGGCAGCAUGAACAAGACGUUAUACCGUCGCGUUCCUCAUAGUGAUGGUUAUCGAUUAGAGGAUCUCCCAGAUAGAAUUAAAAGUGUAUUUUUAUCAUAUCACUUAAUAUUUUGAGUUCACAGAUGAGUAGGUAUUUGUAAAGUUUAAAUAUUUUCACUCAUUUAUUUCUUUACUUACAGUUGAGUAAAUAUUUAUAUGUAUUGUAGUUCUUUCAUUCAGUUAUUUUGCUUUAGUUAUAUUACAUACUCAUACAUUCAAUGUAUUGAUAUCAUUCUAUCAGUAUCUUUUUAUGAUGCAGAUACAGAAGACUCUUCAUUGAAAUCACUUGCACUUCCAGUUAGCUUAGUUGAGCCUCCUUGCAUUCUAGAGGACUCUACUUUUAUAUUUUAGUUAUUUACUUUGAGGUGUCGUGGGUCUUGAACCAACAUCAGUCUAGAACAACAAAGGCUUCAUAGAUUGUUAGUUUUGAAUAUAUUUUCGGUAUAAUUAAAUUGCAUUUCAACAAUUCUUGUUUUUGAAGUAUUUUUGAAACAUUCGAGUACUUUGAGAUUAAAAGGUUUAAUUAUGUUUAAAACU